ensembl:lncRNA
AUGUCUGCCUGUCUGUACUCUGAUAUUCUGCUUUUAGAUGUUGGGAUGCAGAUGGUGGUUACACAAGGGCUAAAGUUUGUAAUGCUGCCCUUCAAAAUACCACGUGACCUUCCUCAGGGCACCACAGUGGAGUGGAGACACAACAGUGUGAAAGUCUACAAGUGCAUAGCUAUAAAUUUUGGCACACAGCACCAGCCUCGCAGAGAUCGUGCAGAGAUGGAUGGACAUCCACUGACAACUGGAGACUUCAGUCUGACCCUUAGAGACCCCCACCUCACUGACAGUGGAGUCUACACCUGCACCGUCAACAACACAUACAGAGACAUCCUGCUACAGAAAGUGGUGACUCUCAGUGUCAGAGAUAACGAAGUGGGCGUGUUGGAGGUGACACAAGGGGAGAGGUCUGUGCUGCUGCCCUUUCAAACCACAGCUGACCUUCGUCAGGGCGUCACAGUGGAGUGGACACGCUCAGACUCCAAACACACCAAAGUCUGUAUGUUUCAGAAAAGCCAAAGCCAGGCAGACAAACAGCACCAGGGUUACAGAGGUCGCGCAGAGAUGGAUGAAGAUCCACUGAGAACUGGAGACCUCAGUCUGACCCUGAAAGACCUCCACCCUACUGACAGUGGAGUCUACACCUGCACCGUCUACAACAAGGAUGGACACAUGCUGCUACAGAGAGUAGUGACUCUCAGUGUCAGAGCAACCUUAAAGGGAGCCAUGGCAGACAUGCUGGCACGUCUCAGGAGGAGGAGGGCACCAAAAUCUGAGAUUAAAGUGGAAAAGAGGUAUGUUUGCAGGGUCACAGUGGUGUCUGUGUUUACCUGUGAGGUCACCAUGGUAAUUGCAGCUGGUCCACUUUAA